rnacentral:rRNA from 1 species
GGCGCACGGGUGCGUAACGCGUGGGAAUCUGCCCUUCGGUUCGGAAUAACUCAGGGAAACUUGAGCUAAUACCGGAUAAUGACUUCGGUCCAAAGAUUUAUCGCCGAGGGAUGAGCCCGCGUAGGAUUAGCUUGUUGGUGGGGUAAAAGCCUACCAAGGCGACGAUCCUUAGCUGGUCUGAGAGGAUGAUCAGCCACACUGGGACUGAGACACGGCCCAGACUCCUACGGGAGGCAGCAGUGGGGAAUAUUGGACAAUGGGCGAAAGCCUGAUCCAGCAAUGCCGCGUGAGUGAUGAAGGCCUUAGGGUUGUAAAGCUCUUUUACCCGGGAUGAUAAUGACAGUACCGGGAGAAUAAGCCCCGGCUAACUCCGUGCCAGCAGCCGCGGUAAUACGGAGGGGGCUAGCGUUGUUCGGAAUUACUGGGCGUAAAGCGCGCGUAGGCGGCUUUGUAAGUUAGAGGUGAAAGCCCGGGGCUCAACUCCGGAACUGCCUUUAAGACUGCAUCGCUAGAAUCAUGGAGAGGUGAGUGGAAUUCCGAGUGUAGAGGUGAAAUUCGUAGAUAUUCGGAAGAACACCAGUGGCGAAGGCGACU